AGAACUCUUAAGACGGUCAUUUCAAACAGUGGAAGGGUAAGAACUGGACAACCAGCUAGGUACUGAGCGACAAUCCUUGGUUUCUGAAUUUCCCACCAAGACAUGAUGAGUCAAUCUCUGCAAUCGGUAAAGCCUGGUGAUUUGAUCGAGAUCACUAGAAAAGGUGGACUAUAUAAACACUGGGCCCUGUGCGUGACAGAAAAUGAAGUCAUUCACAUUGACC